GUCUACGGCCAUGCCACCCUGAAUGCGCCCAAUCUCGUCUGACCUCGGAAGCUAAGCAGGGUCGGACCUGGUUAGAACUUGGAUGGGAGAAU
rnacentral:rRNA from 1 species